GACUAUUAGUGAUUGGUCGAAAGACUUACCCAUCCUCACACCUGUGCACCGUGGGCUUCCGGCCCUACAAACGUAGUGUAUCGAACGUAUGCAUCUUAACAAACAAAACUUUCAACAACGGAUCUCUUGGCUCUCGCAUCGAUGAAGAACGCAGCGAAAUGCGAUAAGUAAUGUGAAUUGCAGAAUUCAGUGAAUCAUCGAAUCUUUGAACGCACCUUGCGCCUUUUGGUAUUCCGAAAGGCAUGCCUGUUUGAGUGUCAUGUAGACUCAACUCUCGAGAGGUUUCUUGCGAGUUGGAUUUGGGUGUUGCCGUUUGGCUCGCCUCAAAAGUGUUAGUGGUUCAAACACUUGAUCGGACGUGAUAAGUUUCGUCCGGCCGUGUGUCGUCGACCGCUCCCAAACCGCCUUGCGGCGCUCUUUGACUCUGACCUCAAAUCAGGUAGGACUACCCGCUGAACUUAAGCAUAUCAAUAAGCGGAGGA
rnacentral:sRNA from 1 species